CAUAUCGGGCAAUGUGGCAAAACCAAAUGUCUAUGAAAAAUACAAAAAUUAGCUGGGCAUGGUGAUGCACACUCAACUAACGAGCAAAAUAAGCAGCUAACAUCAUAAUGACACGAUCAAAUUCACACAUAACAAUAUUAACCUUAAAUGUAAAUGGGCUAAAUGCUCCAAUUAAAAGACACAGACUAGCAAAUUGGAUAAAGAGUCAAGACCCAUCAGUGUGCUGUAUUCAGGAAACUCAUCUCACAUGCAGAGACAC
rnacentral:lncRNA from 1 species